rnacentral:rRNA from 1 species
AUUGAACGCUGGCGGAAUGCUUUACACAUGCAAGUCGAACGGCAGCACGGACUUCGGUCUGGUGGCGAGUGGCGAACGGGUGAGUAAUGUAUCGGAACGUGCCCAGUCGUGGGGGAUAACGUAGUGAAAAUUACGCUAAUACCGCAUACGAUCUAUGGAUGAAAGCGGGGGAUCGCAAGACCUAGCGCGAUUGGAGCGGCCGAUAUCAGAUUAGGUAGUUGGUGGGGUAAAGGCCCACCAAGCCAACGAUCUGUAGCUGGUCUGAGAGGACGACACGCCAAACUGGAACUGAGACACGGUCCAGACUCCUACGUGAGGCAGCAGUGGGGAAUUUUGGACAAUGGGCGAAAGCCUGAUCCAGCCAUUCCGCGUGCAGGAUGAAGGCCCUCGGGUUGUAAACUGCUUUUGUACAGAACGAAAAGGUUUCUACUAAUACUAGGAGCUCAUGACGGUACUGUAAGAAUAAGCACCGGCUAACUACGUGCCAGCCGCCGCAGUAA